CAGAAUCUGUUUAUAGCUACAAAAAGUGACAGAUCAGUGAUGGGAAAUGACUGGGCAAAUCCCAAUCCUCCAGCACCAGGCUGACAGUAAGUCUGAAUCCACUACUGAACAGUUCUUAUUGCAGCCUGGCUUGUCAAAUGUUAUCACAAAAAUAUAAUUAGUCUGCACUAAUUUAAUCAAAAUCACAAAGACCAUUUUUUUUUCAGUACGGCUACAGAACUUGUACAGCUCCUCAGGGUCAUCACUGGAGUUCAUAAUGGGUUUCAUCCAAACGCCUUUUACAACUUUCUUGAAUGCUUCUGAUCUAAUGUGCCUGAGUAUCAUUGAAAAUAACGUCUUUCCAAAAUCUGCUGUUUGACAACAUUAUCCUCCUAAAUAAUAUUUCAAUCACUUCAGCUUGGGGUUUGUUUCAUUCCAGAAAGUUCCAGACACUUUUAGAACACAGUGCUGGAAUGUCAACAAAAUUAAAUAAAGUUGAACAUUGUAUAUUAACUUCAUAUUAAUAUCAAUGAUUUCUAUUCAUUCCUCCAUCAGAAAUGAAUAGUUCAAGAUUGAGAGUUGAAAACCGAUUGGUGGCUUUAGUACCUUCAGAUUACUGUUUUUGCCAAACAUUUUGGAAUGUGAUUCGUUCUUCUGCUGUUAAAGCUCAUCUGCCUCGCAGUUUUGACGUAAAGCGCAUUCUGAAAUGAUUUUCUUCCCACCAUGGUUGUAAAGAGCAGUUACUUGAAUGACCAAUAAUAGCCAUUAUUGGAAAUAAUGGGUCACAACUCUUGCUGGAACCUGCUACAAAAUACGCACAAUAUUAAUGAAUAUAAUAACAAAGGCAAAUAUUAAAUAAUGUUUUUUUUCCUCCAAUGUUUUUCUGCCAUGGCAAAGGACUGAAUGUCUGAUAAGGUCAUACCUUCACCAUUCGUGACUUUUCUACAAUGCAACAUCUCUCUCGUGUAAUGGAAAGCUCGAUCUAUGUCCGCGUGCACAAUGACUCGGAACACUCCCAUUUUGCAUCCGCUCACCGUAAUUGCUUCCCAUCAGCCCCUUGUUCCCUAUUAAGGCUGCAUACGGAGUGAGCAAUGACAGCCAGGCCGGUUCUCCUUCAGCAGAGAUGAGACGAGGCCGCCACGGGGUCGUUACUCUGCUUAAUGCAGGAAUAAAAGAACUUCAUGUAGUAUGAAUUACGUUUUCCGCGCCAGAAACUAAGAAAGGAUUUGUAGAGGAGAAUGGUACAAAAUUUUUUUCAUCUGCUGUUCAAAUUUAUAUGUUUGGACGAAUUUUUCAAAUGAAAAAAAUCAGGGUCUUAACAAUGACUCUGUGCUGAUGCAGGCCAGAUUCAGGUCCAAGGUUAUGUCAGUGUUUCAUCAAGUAUUUCAUCACGUUACACCUAGCUAGCUGCCUACUGAUUAGAACAACAAUAAUAAAGUAGAUUUAUAAAUUUCUCCACUCAUAUACACCUGUUAUUAAUGCUGUGUUUCAUGUCUUGCUCCAUAAUCCUCCACAACAUUGCGUCAAACUCUGCAGGUGUACAUGGAUUAAAGGAAAUUAAAAUUUAACUCGACUUAAAACCCAUGUGCUGUUUAAUUUCAUCUGCUUUGACUUUAAAGCGUUUCGGGAGGACAGACUUCUAAUUUGAGACCCGUUUUAAAUAUGCUUUCCCAUGUGACACGCUUCAAUGGCGGGAGGCGGCUGCGCUGUGUUUUGAUCCUUGCUCUAAAGUCAUUUAAGCCAAUUAAAGGAGGGAACAUGCAAAAACACACGCGCCUCCAGAAGGCACUUGUGACUCGCCUCACGAGGGCGAAGGGGGAACGAUCUUCUCACAGGGCCCCCGCCGAGAGACUGCGAUUUGGAGAGGAGCACACUCGCACCAUCUGUUGUGUGUUUGUGAUAGUGAGAAUGAAGAGAAUUGAGGAAGAGGAAAGCGAGAUUGAAAACACAAGGUCAGGAACACAGGAGAAGAGAUCUCACAACAUGGAUGUAGCUGUUCUAGUGUCUGUUGUUUGUUUGUCCUUGACAUGACAUCAAUGUAUGUUUUAGUGUUAUGGUAACAAAACAAAAUUUCUUUCUGGCCGUUUGCUUCAUUCGGCAAGGACACACGAAAGUGCGAGAAAAAACAAACAAACAAAAAAGGAACUGAAUUCAGCUGGUGGGUAGUCUCAUGGCAAACCUUGAACCAACAGAAACCACAGUUGCUAUGACAUUCAGGUAUAUGGUUACUGCAAAAAAUUCAUCCAAAGUGAAUGUCAGAAUGAUAUAGUGAUAAAGCGAAAUAUCAUACAGACAUUCUCACUGAACACUUAAGUACAAUAAACUAUAGUUCUAUUUUAAUUCAAUUUAACACUAAACAAUUCCUCUGACACAGUGCAGAUUUUGAUAUCCAAUCAUGUACUGGUUAAUCCAAUCGUUAGAAAACUACACUUUAUCGCAAUAUUAUGUCAUCAUAUCAUUUUAUCCAGUCCUACAUUCAGCUGCCAGGGAUUUUGGAAUAUAGCCGUAUUUCACUGCCAGAAAAAUGACAAAAUGACAAUUGUUUAACCACAAAACAACAGUUUUAGUUGUGUUUACAUUAAAAGCUGUGGGGGAAAAAAAAUCAUGAAGAAGGGCAAAUUUCAUGAAAGCCAUGAAACCCCCAAUCAACCUCAUUCUGACCACUUUUGUUUUCCAUAAUCUGGGCCACUUCUGACCCUUUUCGUUUCCCACUUGCUAUGUGAGCAUUAUUUUCUUCUGUCGACUGGUUACACCUUUUCCUUUCCACACUUUUCUAAAGUAAUUAACUGCUUGGCGGUCUUCUCUGGCACGAAACAAUUCAGAUGACUUCUUCUUCGCCACCCUGCACAUAUUCCAAGUUAAUUAAAACCUGGAAUUUUGCCAUUGCUUCAUCUCUAACUAAAGAGAAGGAUGCAGCGGUGUUUCAGCUAUAUAGUUCACCCGGCUCUCUCUCCUCAUCAUUUGUGCACUUUUCUAAAAUGCUAAGCCUCCAAAGCAUGCUAAUAUCACUGUCAAUGCCACACACUCGCCAUCUUGUGCAUCGAAAAAACUAGCUGCAGUGAAGAAUUUGGAAGGUAUUUGGAAUUAAACAUGCGUACUGUAUGCAUAGGUUACCUUAAGAUGAACCUGAACAUAUUGCACUACUACACAGCAACGAAAGUAAUAUUGAGUACAUCGUAUAAAAACCACAGGAAGAGUUAAAAAAAGGAAAAAAAGAAAAGUACAGAAUGUUUAGUGGGAUAUUUUCUUUCACCUGGAGUCUCCUUGAUCGAUGAGCAUGUACAUUUCCCAGGACGUGUCCUCGGCGAUCGCCCCAUGGGACACCAGCAGACUGACUCCUGCACAAACAACACACCAGACAUCUGCCGUCAGCUCGAGCUUCAGAAAAGCCAUCGGAAAACUUUGGGUGAAUAUGUAACCGAUCACAUGGGAAUGGAAAUGCGUUUCAUUCCUGCGUCAAGCUUCCGGUGCUCAGACGUCAUCGAUUGACGACUACCUGCUAAAAGAAUUCUCUUCUUGGGAACAAGAUCUUGAUCUUGAUGAUUUCGUUGAUGUGGACUUUCCCUCGUGAUUUCCUGCUGACGGGAGACGGACAACGAGGAGAGCAUUUUCAAACCUGCCCUUGAUAAGGCUCCUCCAGACACUUUUCGUGUUUCUCUACACGACAGGACACUUUUGAACGCCCACUCAUCGAGGUUGCCUAGGCGACGUGUGAGCAUUCCCUCCGAACCAGGAGCAGAUUGAGUCUGUCGCCGGCGCUAAUUCCAUUACUAGCAAUAUGUCUGUAAAGAUUUUCAGCCGUACAUUUGUUACGCGCAAGAGGAACGUUGACGCAGAUGGCUAACAGACCUCAGUAAAGAACCUUUUUCAGUCCCAUACACACUGAGCCAAAAAAUACCCUCACAAAAAAAAAACAAAGACGAUACUCCGACUCCUAUACAAGACAUGAUUUAUUGACGCCGUCCUCCGUGUGAUGUGUGAGGUGACCGCUUUUUAUACGAUAUUGUUAGCAUAUCAGCUUCUCCUAAAAUGUCACCAUGAAGGUAAAUGUGCCUGAUGAAGUCAUUCGUUUUGGUGAAUGGAUCUUCAUUUGGCAGUUUAUAACUUUCUGUUCUUGUAGCUCAUAUGUAAAAUUAAAUAAAAGCCACACACCAGGCUCCAAGGACAGAAUGAUAAGCAAUCCAGCAUCCAUCUGCUUCAUAUCAGCUUCUCCAGUCCAGUAGACGUCUGCUACAGCUUAUUGAUCUGAGCUUUCAUUUCUCUGUGUUGUGGUGUUCCGUUUUAAUCUUUUUUUUUUUUUUUUUUUAAAGGUAGCUCUUACACUUGACUUGCUUGGCCCACUGUUCGAGUUUGAGUUCAGAAAACAUUGGUUCACUGCUUGAUCAUGGAGGAAAUGUAUCUGUAACAGCAUCCAAAAGGGAGCAGGAGCAAUAACUCCAAGACAUUUCUGCCUAAUCAAUAAAUAAGUCAACAUAUUCACACUUAAUUUAUUCUCAAAACCAAACAUUUUCAGCUGUUGAGAAAUCCUUAUAAAUAUUAAUCAUAUCUAAAUGUCCUGUUCAUAGUGUUAAUUAUCAUCAUCUUAUAACCACAUCUGCACAUGUGGUGUGUAUUAA